rnacentral:misc_RNA from 1 species
AUCAAAAGCUCUUGUUGCUUAGUUUUGAGCCUGAGGGACUUGAGGGAGAAAACGUUAAACAGAUCUGCGUUGAAAUUAUUCAUCAGAGAGGAUCCAGAUUUUGGCUUUGCAGUGCCGUUGAUGGGUUCCGUUCUUNNNNNNNNUUUAUCAAGGAUGAAUUCAAAUACAGGAAUAUUGGAGUUAUUUAUGGAUAAAGAUUUUCCCUCAAGUUUUCCUAUCACUCUGCGAGAGUGGAGUCCAAGAGGGUUUGUGUUGGGAUUAAUAUCAGAGACAUAGACCCGAUGGCCUUCAACUACUUGGG